rnacentral:rRNA from 1 species
ACAUGACUCUCGACAACGGAUAUCUCAGCUCUCGCCACGAUGAAGAAUGUAGCGAAAUGCGAUACUUAGUGUGAAUUACAUAAUCUUGUGAAUCAUCGAGUCUUUGAAUGCAAGUUGCACCCGAGGCCUCAGUCGAGGGCACGUCUGCUUGGGCAUCGCAC